rnacentral:rRNA from 1 species
UGGGGGAUAUUGCACAAUGGGCGAAAGCCUGAUGCAGCGACGCCGCGUGGGGGAUGAAGGCUUUCGGGUUGUAAACCUCUUUCGCUAUCGAACAAGGCCCGCUUAGGGUGGGUUGAGGGUAGGUGGAGAAGAAGCGCCGGCUAACUACGUGCCAGCAGCCGCGGUAAUACGUAGGGCGCGAGCGUUGUCCGGAAUUAUUGGGCGUAAAGGGCUUGUAGGCGGCUUGUUGCGCCUGCUGUGAAAACGCGGGGCUUAACUUCGCGCGUGCAGUGGGUACGGGCAGGCUUGAGUGUGGUAGGGGUGACUGGAAUUCCAGGUGUAGCGGUGGAAUGCGCAGAUAUCUGGAGGAACACCGAUGGCGAAGGCAGGUCACUGGGCCAUUACUGACGCUGAGGAGCGAAGGCAUGGGUAGCGAACAGG